rnacentral:rRNA from 1 species
UACGUAGGGCGCAAGCGUUCGUCCGGAAGUUAUUGGGACGUAAAGAGCUCGUAGGCGGCCUGUCGCGUCGACCGUGAAAACCCGCAGCUCAACUGCGGGCUUGCGGUCGAUACGGGCAGGCUGGAGUUCGGUAGGGGAGACUGGAAUUCCUGGUGUAGCGGUGAAAUGCGCAGAUAUCAGGAGGAACACCGGUGGCGAAGGCGGGUCUCUGGGCCGAUACUGACGCUGGAGGGAAGCGAAAGGCGUAGGGAGGCGAACAUGG